GGCAAAUGCGGAACAUUUCACAAGGUUUGCUCACUAGAUCUUGAAUCUCUGAAUGAGGUGGAUAGACUAUUUUACUUGAAGAAUGAUGGAUCGUUUUGAAGAUUCCGGUGUACAUCAGGAUGGGGUCAGUCUGGACGUCGUUCUAGUGGUCAAUCAACAUCAAGUUGUGGUGGUCGAUCCACGUCAGGCUAGAGUCGAUGCACCCCAAUUAUUUGUCAAAGAUAUGUUAACCCCACAGUUGUAUCUAAUACAUAUAAAGAUUUGGGAAUGCCUCCUUUUAUACAUCCAAAUAUUUAGGCAACAACGACAAUGACUCCAUCGAUGCCAAUUCCACAACCUUCAAUAGUUGCGCCAGCUACGCAAAGCCCUCCAGUUCCACAUGCUGAGACUUCUGCUCAUGCCAUUGAGGAUCUACGCAUAGAGAAGGAGGGGCCCUCUAAUAAGUCUAUAAGCACUGGGUCCCCUUGGGUUAUAACCCUAUAUAG